rnacentral:lncRNA from 1 species
UACUGAUUCAUUUUUCUCCUCUCUCUUUCCCUUAUUAUUUUUCUCUUCUUUCUCUCAUUCCCUCUUUCUCAUUAUUGUCUUUGAUUCUGUCUCAGAUUGGUCAAAAUAUCCAGGAAUAUUAGGGGACAACUAGGAAAAUUUAAAUACUAGAUACUUAUUGGUAUGAUAAAAUGUGAUUUUUUUAGGUAUGGUCGUUGUACUAUAAUUAUGUUUUAGAAAGAGUUCUUUUUUUCAGAGAUACAUGCUUAGGUGGAUGGAUGCUUUAUGCCUUAUGGAUGCUUUGAUAUGAUGUCUUGGACUUGCUUCAGUAAAACCCAGUGAAGUUAGGGGUUGAGGGACAAGAGUGAGUAGAGAUAUGGACAAAACAAGAUUGGCUAGAUUGAGCAGUGGGUACACAGGGAUUCAUUUUACUAUCAGUCUCUACUUUUGUGUAUGCUUGAAAAUUUCCAAAAUGAAACAUUUUCUAAAAUGUCCAAGAGAAAGUUCAGUCCUCAGUAUCUUCCUCAUGUUCACCAAAGUCCCCAGUUCUCCCCAAUGACAUUCUGGGCAGCUUUUCUCCUUGCUUUUCCCAGUACUUUCUGGGUUGUUCCAGACUCUGUGCCAGUGGAGUGCCACACUGCCUCAGCCCCCACAGCUGGCGAUUGGACAAGAAUCUCUUCCUGACCCCAGAUGGCAUCACAGCUUCCUCAGUCUGAUCCUGUCAGCAUAUUUUUUCCAGGCACCUGAUUCUUGGACGUGGCAGCAAUAAAACCAACCGAGAUUAUUUGGCCGGCCCCCUCUGGAGCAGGUCCCACGUACUCGCCUUGGCAUAGGUGGGGAGCUGUUGGUCCUGACUGGUUGAUGGCUGACUCCCAGUUCUGUGUUUAUCCACUGAAGCCCAGUGCAGUUGUUGUGCAAGGUGUCGGCAAAGGACCAGGAGAGGGGACCAAGCACCUCUAAGCUGAAGAAUGGUGUGCAUCUCUCCCCCUUCCACCGUUUCUGUUCAGGUUUGACUCACAGAGCCUUGCAGCUUCACAGUCACUUAUAAGAGGAGGUGGUAAAGACAGCUGCUGGAGAGAACAUCUGGCAGGGCUCUGAGCAAAUGUUCUUACCAGGGGGAUAUGAAGCCUGAGACCCUGACUAGCAUCUGAGCCCUGGGAUGCUGAGCGUUCCCCAACUCGUUAAUAAAAGGAUCUGCUGGACUCAUUGUAAGAUGGGAAUGACAAAAACUGUCUGGUUUACAUACGAGAUCACAGAUCAGGAAUGUUGGAGCGUUUCACUGGCAAGGAAUGAAGAGCUCAGCUACAAGCCUCGGAAAACAGGAGCAGGCACAGAGCAACAGCUCGUUGUGUGCUUCUUGCCCUGGGGAAAGGACGUAGUGCCUGUGGACACGGGAGUCCGCUAUCAAUGCAUGGUUACACACACCAACCGCCUGCUCUGUGUGCUGGACCCAGAAACCAUAGAGCCUUUUCCCAGCCCUUACAUUAGGACAGAGUACGAGGCUCCGAACUCUCUCCAGUGCAUCCAAGUAUCCUGGGUUUCCCUCAUUUUCUGAUCACAUUAUUGACUGGAAGGGGGAGGGGAGGGAGUACAGGUAACUAAGAAGUAGAGCGAGCACAUAGGUGUAUGAACUAUUAUAAAAUAAUAAAAAUAGCAACCACUUAUUGACCCC